UUAAAAGAGCUGAAGAAGCCAUAUCAUAGUAGACAAAAUAAAAUGCAGCCAGCUAAAGAGAAAACAGCUGAUGCGACAGCCUCAGCAAAGUCUGGCAUGGAGAAGACCAAGGCCACCAUUGAAGAAAAGGGGGGGGAGAAUGACAACGUUGAAGAAAGAGACGGCAACAGAUAAGAAAGAUGACGUGAUUGGAGGUGGAGGGCCGGUGGUUUUUGACCAUCCGACUUGCAAGACUCAAGAUCCUUCUUUUCCUUGCUGAUGGAGCUAGCAUUGGCUUGUAUUCUAUCACUAUAUUCAUCAUUAUAUAACGAUAAUAAAUCUCAUUUUAUGUAACAUUGAUAUGAUUUAAUGUGAUCGUGUUGUAGUCUUUUCUUUUC